UGGAAAUAGCACGAUCAUUAUUGACUUGUUCGGGUUGUGAUGAAGAAGAACCCUACCUGCUUUAUUGCAUGCUCAGCAGUGGCAUAACUUCAUUGCACGCUUCCAACAAUGGAUGCCACUGAGGGCAAUGCGCGCAUACUCAAUUUGGUGCUUCUGCUUCCCCAUCAAAACGCACCUCCAUUCUCUAAUGUCUUUUGCGUUUUGAUUAUGGGACCGUUGAGGUUUCACCAGGAAUCCAGGACUUCUGCUGAUGCAAAAGGUUGACAGUUGAUGAGAAAAUCAGCAUGAAUUCCAGGGGGGCUAAUGACAGUUGUUUGACUUAUCUGAUUGGGAUGAGUAAUUGAGGUAACAGUCAACUUUUGUUCUUCAAUUUUCCAUCAACAAUUAAUAAUUUGCAUAUUCAGAUGCCCAUUUCUGGAUUAAUAUACUAUAUUUCUUAGCACCCUAGUUCUAGUCAUAUAAGGUAACACUCGAUCAGAAGGAAAGGAAGCACCACUGCCAAAUAAACACUCUGUCCUAGGUUUAGAAAAUUAGAAAAAAAAAGAAGAUAAAACAAGAUGCGCCGCUUCGAGUAAUCUUUUCCCCUCUUCCUUUCCUUCUUGUUCUUCACCCAGACUGGACUCUCCAUUUGAAUCCGAAAGUAGGAACCAAUGAGUUCUUCUUCGUCUAACCAAGUGGCCAAGGUAGGUGUACAGAAAUUUUUUUUCUGUUAUAUGUUUUCUCUGUACAAUCAUCUGAGAAGCAUUUAGCAAAUGCUCCUUUAUCUUUGGUAUCCUGUUCAUCCUUGCUGCAAUCAUGAGAAAAACUGAAUCAAUGGAGUGUUUCUAGAGGACAACUUGUUCAUGGUUUGGUAUUUUAAUUAAGAAUUUAUAUGGCACAAACCCUUUCUGCUUGAUAAACCAUUCAGAGAGAAAGAGUAUAUCAAUUUCAUUCUCAGAUGCACUCAAAUUGAAUGCUAGUCAAAUGAGUAGCUGAAAGUGACCAGAAUAAAGAUUUGGUUUCUCAGUUUAUAUGCUCACGAUGGAAGUUAAAUAAAAGGUCAAUGAAACUUGAAUGGAGUUUAGAUAUAUCAAACUGUUAGUUCUUAAAGGCUGUAAUUUUUUCAUAGAUUCAGUCCUAACGUAAUUAAUAAAAAACAUUUCUUAUUUUCUAUUUUGGUUGAGGAUUGUAGUCUUAUGAGUUUUCCCAGGGUUGAAAUGUGAGAAUUUAUAUGUUGUCAGAUUUGAAUAGCAAACUGCUUCAGCAAAGACAGAAAGAAUUGCUGCAGUUAUUGUUUUCAAUGUGAUCCUCAAAUUGCAGUCUGCUUUACUUAAAAUUAAUAGAUACCGUUAUUUUAAUUGCUGCACGCGUAUUGCUUUCUUCAGUUUCAAAUGUAAAAGACAACACUGUUUUGGCAACAAAGUGAAUUUGGAUGCAUCGAUGCGUCCAAAUGAACAAACUAUGUUUCUGACCUCAUAAUGCCAACAUUCAAGCAGGAUACCUGACUUUUACGGCACACAGAGACUUGAAGAUAUACAGUGAAUUUUCUAUUUUUAUUAUUAUUAUUAUUAUUAUUAUUGUUAAGAAAAAUAAGGUGGAUGAUAUUUUGUAACUCGUUAAUUUGAAUUAUAUACUUUAAUGAUGUGUUUACUUUUUUUUAGGCUAAGAAAGUGAAGAAAGCUCUUCAGCCAGAGUGGCUUAAGUCUCUUCUGAAAAGGACUUUCUUUGAAUCUUCCUGUGCAACACAUCCUGUGCUUAAGAAUGAGUUAAACCAAUACUGUGUAACCUGUACUGAGCUAAUUUGCCAAAAUUGUGCAUCUGGACCCAAACAUGUUCUUCAUAAGGUGAUCACAAUCUACAAGCAUAGUUACAAAGCUGUUGUUCGCAUUGAUGCUAUGAGAGAGCAUAUUGACUGCUCACAAAUUCAGCCUUACAAAUCCAAUAAGCUUUCCGUUAUUGCUCUGGAGCCUCUUCCGCACCAUGGUUCUGUAAAAUGGAGAAGGGCAUCAUCAUGCAAGACCUGUAGGAGAAAGUUGGCCAACACCCCAAUUUAUAUCGUUACUGCUCCAUAUCUUGCAAGGUCCAAGCUGUUUUAAAGAAGUCUGAUCAUUCAGUUCCUCCCUUCAUUUUGCUUAAGGAGGAUCAAAAGGAGGAAGCUGGAACCAGCAAGCGGGUAAAUAAGAGAAAGGGAACCCCUGCCAGAGCUCCCUUCUUCUAAAGGCCUCCGGUUAUGUAAUAAUGAAGGAAGCUGCUCUAUUUCUUAUGUAAAGAGAUUCUUUAACAUCUGAAUUUUCGUCUUUGGUGGCUUCUACCUUUUGAUUAUCAUAUGACUAUGCAUGACGUUACUUCAAACUUUAUGACAUUCUGGCUAAGUUGCUGUUUGUGGUUUUAUGACAUUCUACUUUUUGUUGGGUGGAUUGU